CCCUACGGCUGUCUUGCGUGCGCACCUGUUUAAAAAUAUAUAUUUAUUAAUAAAACAUUUUCUAGUUCACAGGUCCACAUCAGUAUUUUAAAAAUAUUAUAUUUUCAUGUCUCUGCUGAAGAAUUGUUUUCCUACCUGUCAUAUUUUAAAACAGGCAGUUUCAAAAUAACCAAACAAAACAACGAUUUUAAACCAGAACUUUACUGAAAGAAGGAUUUAAUCCUUUGAAUUGUAGUUUUUAGUGAAGUAUGUGGAAAACUAUAACGCAGUGUGUAAUUAAAUAUGUCAACGCAACAUUAUUCAGCAGGAUUCAUUCGACUAUAUGAAGCAAAAAUUAGUUAGCACUCAUUUCAACCACUUGAAAGACGUUGGAUACGAAAUGAAAGCUAAAGCCUGGUCUGUCUCGCUGAGGUUUUCUAUUCAUUGUAAACAGCAGAGGUUACCGCAACCGCUCCGAGUUAAUGAGUUCCAACAAGUAUAUUUAAUUUAUUAUGUUAGUUUGUGGAAGAAGGAAGCCAAGAGAGGAGGCGUUUGCUAUUGUUUUGCAAAGACUACGAGGGACAGAGCUCGUUAAACCAGGUCUGUGAAGAUGAGAAGGUCUCCACAGUCUGGAGUCUGAUCUCUGAGAAGCUCAACAUACCUGUCAAUCAACCAGGACUCCUCUACAAAGGCAAGGCGCUGGCAGAUGAGCACAGACUGUCACACGACUCCAUCGCUCCCGAUUCCAAGCUGAACUCAUCUUGACGCCCCCAACCCAGAAAGUGUCACCCGAGCAAGAACAGCACUCCCUGUGUCACCCCUCAUCUCACGCAGUGAGAGUCUGGAGCACCUACACAGAACUCACUUGACUCCCGCAAAGCCAAGACAUCGAGGCUCUUGUGCUGCUUUGCUCCCCAGCGCCCGAGUGCUUGCUGGCAGUGCUGAGGCACGCUGACCCUGAGCUAGCAGCGCUAGUUUUCCCUAUUGAGGAAGGAUUGGCACUCCCGUUGGUUCAUCAGUAAUAAUGAAUUAGUGGAGACAGUACAGUGCUAGGGGGGAUGAAGGUUUACAUCAGAAUAGAAACUUUGCACACAGUCAAGCUGCUAGAAGUGGAAUAAUUUCUGCUGCGCAGCUUCAGCUUCCACAGCUUGACGAGGGACACAACAUAAAACACACAUGCUCCUAUGGAAGCCACACAGUUAAUAUACAAUAACAUUUUUUAAAAAAAAUAUAUAGCACCUUUCAUAGGGUGCCACCAUCACAAAUUGCUUUACAGGGGUAGGAUGUGAACUGUGCAUUAUAUACAGAGUCACUUACAAUAGGACACUGAUUUAACAUCUCAUCUGCAGGAUGGAGCGCAAGGAGGUAAAAUGACUUGCUCAGGAUCACACAGUGAGUCAGUCAGUGGGAGAUGAACCAGUGACGUUUUAGUUACAAGCCGUGGACUUUAACCAGACUACACCACACCUGGUAGCCCUGGUAUUUACCUCAGAGCCCUGCUGUGUAAUAGGGGUGUGUUUCAUAAUCCCUCCUCUCUUCUGUGGCAUGAAACUGCAACUGUGCAAACAACCAGGAUUCUCAACUCCAGCAGUGUGUGAUAUCUGACAAGGGAAGCUCAUCUCAUAUACAAGGUUAGACUGCUAAACUGUCACAAGGAAACAGGUGUUGCAGUGGGCUAGAUCAUUAGCAUGCUGUGCUGUGUUUCUUGGGGGACUGGGUUCAAAUCCAGGUGAGUUCUUCCUUUAUUUUCAAAGACUUGGUUAAUUUCCUAUAUAAGGUAAUGAAAAAUCAGGCUCUUCCAUGGAAAUGAGAUGGACUGGGCUCAAAUCCAGGCGAGUGCUUUGCUUUAUUUUCAAAGAAUGUGUUAAUUGACUAUACUGUAUAUAGUGUGAACCAACACUUUCCUGUGGGAGCUGGUGGUGUAAUGGGCUAAUCCCACAGCCUCUCCUUGAAGACGAUGGUUCGAAUCUGAGUCCCGAAGAAAAAGAAAAAAAAAAACAAUUAUUAAAUAGAAAUAUUGAGCUAUGUAAUGUUUUCAUACAGGAAGGGCCUGGUUUGCAGAUUGGACACUGGAGGGUAGCAUUGAGAUAAGAUAGAGUGAGAUGGAAAGUGAAAAUCAGAGAGAGAAGAUACAGUUUCUUAGGCAGCAAUAAAAUAGAACCUUGGAAUUUGAUAUUAUUGAUAAUAAUGUCCCGAGAGAGAGAGAGAGAGAGAGAGCAUGAGCAUUCUUACCAAAUAGUUUGAAACACAUUUGGAAAGCCCUAUGCAUUCUUCACAAUUCAGAAAUAAUAAAGAUGAUAUGCCCUGAAGCACUAAUGGUAGUUGUACAAAAGAGAUGCUAACUUAGCAAACAAAACAAUAUAACAGAUCCUUUAAAAUGAUGUGAAAACCUACAAAAACAAAUGUAAAGGAUGUAAAUAUAUAUUUUGAAUUAUAUAUGAAAAUACAGGGUGGAAAUCCAGUUAAGAAAAGACUAGCAAGUUCACUGAUGUCAUAUUUUACCAAAAUGUAAUGAAAUAAAACAUGUGGGAGAGAUCAGUACAAUAUUAUAGCAAACACAAAUUCACCUAUUAAUUAAAAAAAUAAUAAAAUUAAAAGACAUACCUUGAAUGACUUGUAGGUUUAGAAGCACUCAAAUACAGAAAUAAAAGGAGAACAAACGGUACAGGGGACGCGGAGUGGAGAAAUAGCAGCGCCUGCACCGCCUACAUUCCUAAACAUGGAUAGUAUUUCAGACACCGCUGCGCUUGUAAAAUGGCCUAAUGCUGCCAUCUUGUGGUCAUUUAAUAGAACUGCUGGUUCUAGCAAACCAACAUUUCGUUUUUAAAUCUGGACAGCUCAGCAUCCCUUUGAAAUGACUCAGAUUAACCUGGACCCCCCCCCGUUCAAAUAUAAAGACAUUGCUGAAAUAUAUAACACAAAUAAUAAAGCUCCUACCAUUCUUCUAUCGGUUUAAAUGUUCUUGAAUUGCUUUUUAAAAUCAAUGUCACUGAUUUUGCAUUCACUUGGUUUAAGAGUUCUGUUGAUCGUAAUCUGCAAAACAAAAGCAAACCGCUCCUCGUUUGGCUUUCUUCUUCCACAAACCAACACAUUUAAUGAAAUCCAUCUGUUUCAGAUUGAGACGCGCUCCCGGGUGAGCUCAUUAAUUUAGCGUGGCUUUGUCGAGCGGGUUACAAUGGGCAAAGUAGGCAGUGAACUUUAUGAAGAUGGGGAGAAUGUAGCUCUCUCCGUUCCUUAUCCAAUGCUGCCAUCGUGUGGCCUUUUAGUAGAACUGAAAGUUUUAAUAAACUGAUUUUCUUUUCUUUUUUUGUUUUAUUUGAACAUAACUCAGUUGCUCCUUGACUCAGAGUAACCUUACCCCCUAUACAAAAAUAAAGACAUUUCUAAUACAUUCUUAAAAUACAUCAAAAAAUAAUAUUUACACGAUAACCAAGAAAGUACAAUGUAUAAAUAAUAAAGUCAUUGCUGAAUUCACUACCUGUA